rnacentral:lncRNA from 1 species
GGCUUGACCCUCACAGCUAUGGCACAGAUAGCAGGGUCAUCAAAAGCUGCUCCAUUCUUCUGGAAGCUACAGAGAAAGGGAACCUGGAAACCUGGAUUUGUGCCAUCUUCUUAAUCUCCACCAUCCAGCCUGGACUUGAUACUUUAAAUGGACUUAACACCUAUAUAUGUACAAGUUUUAUUAUCUGAUUUCUAGCAUCAUGAAUCAAUCCCCUUCAAGGAACAGAUAAAAAAGCCCAUCCCUUGAUAGGACAGACAAAGUACAAAACAAAUUGGCAUAGAAAUAUGUCUCCAUAAAAGUUUUCAAUAA